rnacentral:rRNA from 1 species
UGGGGAAUUUUGCACAAUGGGGGAAACCCUGAUGCAGCGACGCCGCGUGAUUUAGAUGGCCUUCGGGUUGUAAAAAUCUUUUUUACGGGAUGAAAAUGACAGUACCGUAAGAAUAAGGUCCGGCUAAAUACGUGCCAGCAGCCGCGGUAAUACGUAUGGACCGAGCGUUGUCCGGAAUCAUUGGGCGUAAAGGGUACGUAGGCGGCCUAGUAAGUUAGAAGUGAAAUAAUAUAGCUCAACUAUAUAAAGCUUUUAAAACUGCUAGGCUUGAGAGAUGGAAGGGAAAGUGGAAUUCCUAGUGUAGCGGUGAAAUGCGCAGAUAUUAGGAAGAAUACCGGUGGCGAAGGCGACUUUCUGGUCAUCAUCUGACGCUGAGGUACGAAAGCGUGGGUAGCAAACAGG